rnacentral:rRNA from 1 species
GAUGAACGCUGGCGGUGUGCCUAACACAUGCAAGUCGAGCGAACAGACGAGGAGCUUGCUCCUCUGCCGUUAGCGGCGGACGGGUGAGUAACACGUAGAUAACCUACCUAUAAGACUGGGAUAACUUCGUGAAACCGGAGCCAAUACCGGAUAAUAUAAUGAACCGCAUGGUUCAAUAGUGAAAGACGGUUUUGCUGUCACUUUUAGAUGGAUCCGCGCCGCAUUAGCUAGUUGGUAAGGUAACGGCUUACCAAGGCAACGAUGCGUAGCCGACCUGAGAGGGUGAUCAGCCACACUGGAACUGAGACACGGUCCAGACUCCUACGGGAGGCAGCAGUAGGGAAUAUUGGGCAAUGGGCGAAAGCCUGACGCAGCAACGCCGCGUGAGUGAUGAAGGUCUUCGGAUUGUAAAACUCUGUUAUUAGGGAAGAACAAAUGUGUAAGUAACUAUGCACGUCUUGACGGUACCUAAUCAAUAAGCAACGGCUAACUACGUG